rnacentral:miRNA from 1 species
CAGUGACAGAGGGAGGGGGUGACACAGUGAGGGAGGUGGUGACUAGUGACAGAGUGAGGGAGGUGGUGACUGUCACUAGUCACUAGUCACCACCUCCCUCACUCUGUCCCUAGUCACCCCUCCCUCUGUNN